AUUGAACGCUGGCGGCAUGCUUUACACAUGCAAGUCGAACGGUAACAGGGAGCUUGCUCCGCUGACGAGUGGCGAACGGGUGAGUAAUAUAUCGGAACGUACCUUUGAGUGGGGGAUAACUAGUCGAAAGAUUAGCUAAUACCGCAUACGAUCUACGGAUGAAAGCGGGGGAUCGCAAGACCUCGUGCUCAUAGAGCGGCCGAUAUCUGAUUAGCUAGUUGGUGAGGUAAAGGCUCACCAAGGCUUCGAUCAGUAGCUGGUCUGAGAGGACGACCAGCCACACUGGGACUGAGACACGGCCCAGACUCCUACGUGAGGCAGCAGUGGGGAAUUUUGGACAAUGGGGGCAACCCUGAUCCAGCAAUGCCGCGUGAGUGAAGAAGGCCUUCGGGUUGUAAAGCUCUUUUGUCAGGGAAGAAACGGGAUGUCCUAAUACGGUGUCCUAAUGACGGUACCUGAAGAAUAAGCACCGGCUAACUACGUGCCAGCAGCCGCGGUAAUACGUAGGGUGCAAGCGUUAAUCGGAAUUACUGAGCGUAAAGCGUGCGCAGGCGGUUAUGUAAGACAGGUGUGAAAUCCCCGGGCUUAACCUGGGAAUGGCAUUUGUGACUGCAUAGCUAGAGUGUGUCAGAGGGGGGUAGAAUUCCACGUGUAGCAGUGAAAUGCGUAGAGAUGUGGAGGAAUACCGAUGGCGAAGGCAGCCCCCUGGGAUAACACUGACGCUCAUGCACGAAAGCGUGGGGAGCAAACAGGAUUAGAUACCCUGGUAGUCCACGCCCUAACGAUGUCUACUGGUUGUUGGGUCUUCACUGACUCAGUAACGAAGCUAACGCGUGAAGUUGACCGCCUGGGGAGUACGGC
rnacentral:rRNA from 1 species